rnacentral:rRNA from 1 species
UGCCAGCCGCCGCGGUAAUACGGAGGGUGCAAGCGUUGUUCGGAAUUAUUGGGCGUAAAGCGCGUGUAGGCGGUUCGUUAAGUCUGAUGUGAAAGCCCUGGGCCCAACCUGGGAACUGCAUGGGAUACUGGCAUUCUAGAAUACAGUAGAGGGAGGUGGAAUUUCAGGUGUAGCGGUGAAAUGCGUAGAGAUCUGAAGGAACAUCAGUGGCGAAGGCGACUACCUGACUGAUAUUGACGCUGAGGUGCGAAAGCGUGGGGAGCAAACGGGAUUAGAUA